rnacentral:rRNA from 1 species
GUGGCUUCCAUGUGGUUCUUGAUGUUUGAGACGGUACUUUUGUAUUUGUCAAUUUCACGAGUCCGCUGUGGUAUGUCUGUCUGCGUCGGCGUGCACUUCUCCUCUAGUAGAACGUCGCGACCCGCUGGGUGUCGGUUUAAGGUCCGAGAUUGUCGACUGUUCCGUCGCUUCGGCGUCACGGUAACAGACGCUUGGUAAUCCGACCGACUGCUCGGCGGUAUACGCAAGGUAUCGAGCCGCAUUUGAAUGCGUUCAGACUCGUUGCAAGCUCGGUCACUUUUUAUCUCGGAGUGCGGACCUGGUGCCGUACCUGAGGGUGAUUAGCUGUUGGUUUACGAUGUUCUCGAACUGGCUUAAUUUUGAAUUGAACGAUACCGGUCGGCGACGCUAUUGAUUUGGGUACUUUCAGGACCCGUCUUGAAACACGGACCAAGGAGUCUAACAUGUGCGCGAGUCAUUGGGAUAAUAAAACCUAAAGGCGUAUUGAAAGAGAAGGUCGGCCUUGCGUCGAUUGAGGGAGGAUGAGUAACGUUUAGAUGUUGCUCCGCACUCCCGGGGCGUCUCGUUGUCAUUGCGACUUGAGGUGCACCCAGAGCGUACACGUUGGGACCCGAAAGAUGGUGAACUAUGCCUGGUCAGGAUGAAGUCAGGGGAAACCCUGAUAGAGGUCUCCUUCCGAUAGUAGCGCAUCCUUCCGAUAGUAGCUGGUCCUCCG